rnacentral:rRNA from 1 species
UACGUAGGGUGCAAGCGUUAAUCGGAAUUACUGGGCGUAAAGCGUGCGCAGGCGGUUUGUUAAGACCGAUGUGAAAUCCCCGGGCUCAACCUGGGAACUGCAUUGGUGACUGGCAAGCUAGAGUAUGGCAGAGGGGGGUAGAAUUCCACGUGUAGCAGUGAAAUGCGUAGAGAUGUGGAGGAACACCGAUGGCAAAGGCAUCCCCCUGGGAUAAUACCGACGCUCAUGCACGAAAGCGUGGGGAGCAAACAGG